rnacentral:rRNA from 1 species
AACGGAUAUCUCGGSUCUCGCCACGAUGAAGAAUGUAGCGAAAUGCGAUACUUAGUGUGAAUUGCAGAAUCCCGUGAAUCAUCAAGUCUUUGAACGCAAGUUGCGCCCGAGGCCUCGGCCAAGGGCACGUAUGAUUGGGGGUCGC